rnacentral:rRNA from 1 species
UAGGGAAUCUUCCGCAAUGGGCGAAAGCCUGACGGAGCAACGCCGCGUGAGUGAUGAAGGUUUUCGGAUCGUAAAGCUCUGUUGCCAGGGAAGAACGUCCGGUAGAGUAACUGCUACCGGAGUGACGGUACCUGAGAAGAAAGCCCCGGCUAACUACGUGCCAGCAGCCGCGGUAAUACGUAGGGGGCAAGCGUUGUCCGGAAUUAUUGGGCGUAAAGCGCGCGCAGGCGGCUAUUUAAGUCUGGUGUUUAAACCUUGGGCUCAACCUGAGGUCGCACUGGAAACUGGGUGGCUUGAGUACAGAAGAGGAAAGUGGAAUUCCACGUGUAGCGGUGAAAUGCGUAGAGAUGUGGAGGAACACCAGUGGCGAAGGCGACUUUCUGGGCUGUAACUGACGCUG